rnacentral:rRNA from 1 species
AACGGCCAUACCAUGCUGUAUAUACCGGUUCUCGUUAGAUCACCGAAGUCAAGCAUCAUUGGGCGCGGUCAGUACUUGGGUGGGUGACCACCUGGGAAACACCGCGUGCCGU